GGGGGCGGGCCGGGCUGCCGCGGGCCCGGGGAAGGCUCCCGGGGUGAGCCGAGGUCCCGGGCCGUCGAGGGCUCCGGCCAGCGUGCGGGAAUGAGCGGGUCGCUGGGCCGGGUGGCGGUGGCUCUGCUCCGCUGGGGGCGCGGCUCCGGCGGCGGCGGCCUUUGGGGCCCAGGCGUGCGGGCGGCGGGUUCGGGCGGCGGCGGGGGCGGCUCAGCCGAGCAACUGGACGCGCUGGUGAAGAAGGACAAGGUGGUGGUCUUCCUCAAGGGGACUCCGGAGCAGCCCCAGUGCGGCUUCAGCAACGCAGUGGUGCAGAUCCUGCGGCUGCACGGCGUCCGCGACUACGCGGCCUAUAAUGUGCUGGACGACCCCCAGCUCCGGCAAGGGUGCAGUCACGAAGUAAGUUGCAAAAAAGGUAGUCAUGGCAUAAUGCCGUUCGUGUAUACAGACGUUACCGGUGUGAAACGGCCCGACGUGUUGCGGACACAUGCCAGUUGUAAGUAUGGUUCGUGGGCAGGGGUGGGACGUGCCAGCCAGAGGCCACCUGCGGAGGUCUAGAACCUGUCCUUUGGAUUCCUAGAAACCCGGAUGGAAAUCAGGCCCGGCCGUUUGCCAGCACUGUGACUUUGGUUAAAGAACUUCUCUGAGCCUCAGUUUCUUCCUCUGAUAAAUAGGGACUAAUUAUGCCUUCCCGGAAGGACUCUUACAAAGGUUAAGUGAGGGUGAUCUCAUGGGGGUGCUGACAUCAUUAUUUCCUAGGAGGACUUCAGGAGGAGGUGAUGUGACUUGCCCCAGGCAGAGUUAACCUGCAUCAGACUCCGAAGCUCCUAUGGUGAAAAUCUACCAGGAAAAAAAAAAGGAAACUCUUAUCAUUUGUUUGUUGUCCAAACCAGGAACGAAGUCUGAUGUUCUGAAAUGGGAUGAAUUUUGAAAAGUCCCUUUCGAAAGCUCUGGAAGUACUUUUUUUCCACUCUGGUUUGAUGCUUUGGAGUAUUAAUUUUUUUGGUGGGGCAGUAGGUAGAGGUAGAACCGGUUUUGUAAGACCACCUCCGUCGUCACUCCAGAUUCCUAGUGUCACCCUAUGUAGAACUUCGCGGUCAGUACUUUGGUCCCAAAUUGAAUCAUUGUCAUCUAUCAUCUUUAAAAUGCCAUUGUCAUUAAAAUCCACUCUUGGAUACGAUUUUCUCAUUUUCACGAGUUUCUCCGAUCCUGAGUUAUUUGGAGUGAAAAUUAACUACCACUGUAUAUUGCAGGUUUUGAGAAUUAAAAAGUGUGAGAAAUUAGCCAUGUUUAAACAAUCAAUGGUGGACCGAUGGGAUUCAUUUUAAUUUUCAACUUGUGAGCCGCGGUCUCUUAUUAUCAGAAGUUACUCGCUUCGUGCUAUAGGAAUCCACUGGUUAUCUCGUUAAAUAUUUAAACUUGUAAUCAGACUUCUAAAAAAAGGAACGUAGUAUUUUUUUUAAGACGCUGAAGCUUUGCCUUGCUAUCAGCUGCCUGUAACCUCUGUUACUUUAAAAGCCAAAGAAGCAGGUAGGUUUCGUUUUGAUCAACUGUCAGCUAGUAGGCCCCUUGGCCACUGUCACAAUGCCAUCAUGGGCUCCGAGGCGCGGUGCUUCUGAGUUCCUGAAAUGUAAGUUAUUGGGCAAGAUAGUGUGACUCUGGGGUUUGGAAGGAGUCCCAGCUCCCUCGCACGUGACUGGGGGGGGCGGGGAUGUUCAGGAAGCUUGGAAAGCCCACUUGCUGGGUAGUUUUAAUGGUGGCGUGUCUGCCUCUUCUGUCUUGCCUGGACAUGUGAUCUGCAGCAGCAUGAAAUUAAUGAAGGAAUUGAGCCUAAAGCUUUGAUUGAGUGUGGUACUAUAAAUACGAUUGAUGGAAGCAAAUCAUUCUUUUACUUAACAAAGAUCUUAUGUAAGAAAACUACUUUUUUGGAUCAGAUGCGUGUGGUUUUCGGGCGACCUCAGAUGGCAAAUUUACUCUCAUUUAUGGUGCGUUUCAAAAAUUGUAGGGACUCACCGAAAGAAUCAGUAAAUAUUCAUUGUCUUGGAAAGCUUCACACAAUGUAUUACCAAUUGAAAAAGACCCAGAUGUAAAAGCACGCACAUUAGUGGCACAUGCACACAAUACAGAAGGUUCUUAAGAAGCUUUCAAAGAAUUACAAGCGAUUCGUGUUGACUUUAAACAUUUCUUAAUUCCCACACCCACUCUCGGUCACAUGAAAGUAAAAAAAGAUGGAUCGCUGGCUUCUUUGUGAAGUAAGUUCUAACAGACUAUUUAAGGACAGAGCUUUUUUUUUUU